rnacentral:rRNA from 1 species
UUGAUAAUAAAAGUACUUUAGGGAUAACAGCACAAAAAGAUUAUAGACCAUAUAGAAAUCUCACUAAUGACCUCGAUGUUGAAUUAAGGCACCUCUUUUACAAGCACAAGGAAAAGUAGUUGAUCUGUUCGAUCAUUAAAGCCUUAGAUGAUUUGAGUUAAGAUCGACGCAAGUCAGAUUGGAUUCUAUCUUAUAUUUAAUAAUUUAAUCUUUAGUACGAAAGGAA